CGCGGGGGGUUGGCAUGGGGGCACCCUGAUCCAGCAUGCCGCGUGUGUGAAGAAGGCCUUCGGGUUGUAAAGCACUUUUAUCGGGAACGAAACAUUGUCGGCCAAUACCCGGCAAGACUGACGGUACCCGAGGAAUAAGCACCGGCUAACUCCGUGCCAGCAGCCGCGGUAAUUA
rnacentral:rRNA from 1 species